rfam:Pseudomonas balearica DSM 6083 genome assembly, contig: Ga0056079_105
GGCACGCUUUCUGCUCUAACCAAGCCAUCGGCGGCCAACGGCGGCUACCGAUCAAGACAAAGGCGUCGU